rnacentral:RNase_P_RNA from 1 species
GUCGCGGCUGUCAGUCCGUCUGGACGCCCGAAAGGGGACAGGUGAGGAAAGUCCGGGCUUCACAGGGCAGGAUGCCGGAUAACGUCCGGUGGAGGCGACUCCAAGGAUAGUGCAACAGAAAUGUACCGCCGGCUUUUGUGCCGGUAAGGUUGGAAGGGCAGUGUAAGAGACUACCGCCCGCCCGGUAACGGGCGGGGCAUAUGUAAACCCCAUCCGAAGCAAGACCGAAUAGAAAGCGACAGGUUUGCCCGACCUGCUUUCAGGUGGGUCGCUUGAGCCUGCCGGCAACGGCAGGACUAGAUAGAUGACCAUUCACGACAUAACCCGGCUUAUCGUUUUGCUU